UAAGGAAUAUUGGUCAAUGGACGCAAGUCUGAACCAGCCAUGCCGCGUGAAGGAUGAAGGUCCUCUGGAUUGUAAACUUCUUUUAUCUGGGACGAAAACGGGAUUUUUAUCUCAAUUGACGGUACCAGAGGAAUAAGCACCGGCUAACUCCGUGUCAGCAGCCGCGGUAAUACGGAGGGUGCGAGCGUUAUCCGGAUUUACUGGGUUUAAAGGGUGCGUAGGUGGGCUUAUAAGUCAGUGGUGAAAUCUCCGAGCUUAACUUGGAAACUGCCGUUGAUACUAUAGGUCUUGAAUUAUCUGGAGGUAAGCGGAAUAUGUCAUGUAGCGGUGAAAUGCUUAGAUAUGACAUAGAACACCAAUUGCGAAGGCAGCUUACUACAUAUAAAUUGACGCUGAGGCACGAAAGCGUGGGGAUCAAACA
rnacentral:rRNA from 1 species